AGUGAACGCUGGCGGUAGGCCUAACACAUGCAAGUCGAACGGCAGCACAGUAAGAGCUUGCUCUUACGGGUGGCGAGUGGCGGACGGGUGAGGAAUACAUCGGAAUCUACUUUUUCGUGGGGGAUAACGUAGGGAAACUUACGCUAAUACCGCAUACGACCUACGGGUGAAAGCAGGGGAUCUUCGGACCUUGCGCGAUUGAAUGAGCCGAUGUCGGAUUAGCUAGUUGGCGGGGUAAAGGCCCACCAAGGCGACGAUCCGUAGCUGGUCUGAGAGGAUGAUCAGCCACACUGGAACUGAGACACGGUCCAGACUCCUACGGGAGGCAGCAGUGGGGAAUAUUGGACAAUGGGCGCAAGCCUGAUCCAGCCAUACCGCGUGGGUGAAGAAGGCCUUCGGGUUGUAAAGCCCUUUUGUUGGGAAAGAAAAGCAGCAGGUUAAUACCCCGCUGUUAUGACGGUACCCAAAGAAUAAGCACCGGCUAACUUCGU
rnacentral:rRNA from 1 species